UACGUAGGGUGCGAGCGUUAAUCGGAAUUACUGGGCGUAAAGCGUGCGCAGGCGGUUUUGUAAGCCAGAUGUGAAAGCCCCGGGCUUAACCUGGGAAUGGCAUUUGGGACUGCAAGGCUUGAGUGCGGCAGAGGAGACUGGAAUUCCUGGUGUAGCAGUGAAAUGCGCAGAUAUCAGGAGGAACACCAAUGGCGAAGGCAGCUCACUGGGACGGUAUUGACGCUGAGACGCGAAAGCGUGGGGAGCAAACAGG
rnacentral:rRNA from 1 species